rnacentral:rRNA from 1 species
GACGAACGCUGGCGGCGUGCUUAACACAUGCAAGUCGAGCGGUAAGGCCCUUUCGGGGGUACACGAGCGGCGAACGGGUGAGUAACACGUGGGUGACCUGCCCUCAGCUCUGGGAUAAGCCUGGGAAACCGGGUCUAAUACCGGAUAUGACUCCAUGACGCAUGUUGUGGGGUGGAAAGCCUUGUGCGGCUGAGGAUGGGCCCGCGGCCUAUCAGCUUGUUGGUGGGGNGAUGGCCUACCAAGGCGACGACGGGUAGCCGGCCUGAGAGGGCGACCGGCCACACUGGGACUGAGACACGGCCCAGACUCCUACGGGAGGCAGCAGUGGGGAAUCUUGCGCAAUGGGCGAAAAGCCUGACGCAGCGACGCCGCGUGAGGGAUG